CAGAGUUCCAUGUGCUAUACAGCAGGAUCUUGUUGCCCAUCCAUUCUAAAUGUAGUAGUUUGCAUCUACUAACCCUACCUCCAGCCCAUCCCACUCUCUCCCCCACUGCCGUGGCAACCACAAGUCUGUUCUCCUUGUCUGUGAAUCUGUUUCUGUUCUGUAGAUAGGUUCAUUUGUGCUGUAUUUUAGAUUCCACAUACAAGUGUUAUAUACUAUUUAUCUUUCUGUUUUCUCUGCUCUUCAUGUAGAUGGCUAUUUUUCAUCUUUGUUUCUGGCUUUAAAUAUUAUUUCCUUGGAAUGACCUCCUCUGAUAAAUUAUUUAAGUACCAUCUGUGGUGGAGCCUGCAGUUUAAAUAUUCACACUUCCGUACUCCCUUUUAUUCUCUGAAAUAAAGCCCUAAGUUUUUUUUUUCUUCUUUUGAAAAGAAAUCUCAAACUUAGAGAAAAGUUGCAACUUCAGAACAAAUAGCCCCCUUCCCAUUUCCCAAAUCAUAUGUGAAUAAAUUUCUGACAUAUUGCCUCUUGUGUCCCAGUACUUUAGUGGACAUUUUUUUAGUGGGCAUUUCUUACAGUAAAGGACCUUCUCCUACAUAAUCAUAAUACAACCAUCAAAAUCAGUAAAUUAACAUUGAUAUGUUACUACCAUCUAAGCUAUAGACCCCAUUAAAGUUUCACUUGCUAUCCCAAUAAUGUAUUUUGAAAAGGAUCUAGUUCAAGAUCCUGUAUCACAUUUAGUUGUCAUGUCUUAUCCUGGAAGGGAUCCGUAGUGUCCUUGUUACUUUCUUGACCUUGAUACUUUUGAAGAGUAUAGGCCAUUUUGUAUAAAGUUUCUCCUGUUUGUGUUGUCUGAUGCUUCUCAUGAUUAGAUUCAGAUUAUACACCCUCAGGUUUCAAAACUCCAGGCUGGGACUCAGUCCCAUGCCAUGAAUGCUUACUUUGUUUGGUUCCAUGUAAUGACUUUAAAAUUGAAUUUUUGAGGAAGGAAAGAAGUGGAAACUCUGAUUUUAAUUAGGGUGACAUAAACUCGGCUAAAAAAAAAAAACCUCCCAUAUUUUCCAAUCCCUCCCAAAACUAGCUGUGGCCAUAUGAUUUAGUUUUGGCUAAUGAAAUGCAAAGCGAAGGGUAAUGUGGAAAUUUUCUCAGAUGGAAGGCUUUUCCUUUCUUUGCCUAUUCCUCUUCUUGUUGGUCUGGGAUUGAUAUGCCCUGGCUGGAUCUCCAGGUGCCAUAUUUGACCAUGUCCAAAGGAGAAGUGAUGGUUCCCAAGUUAAGCCUAUGGUUUCAGAAGAUAAAUUAAGGAGAAUGUGACAACUGGUUGAAUGUGAGGUGUGAGAGAGAAAGACUCAAAGUUGAUGUUCAGGCUCUUGGCUGGGGGAACUGCUGAAUGAUGAUGCUGUUCACUGAGAAAGGGAGCCCAGAAACGAGGGUGAAAUUAUUUGAGAGGGCAGGACAAAUUCAUUUUUGGGCAAGUUGAGUUUGAAGAACUUAACAGACACGUGAUGGCGUUCCCUAAGGUCAUAGACAUUGGAAAUAGAUCUUAAUACCAACAUGGUAGACAGAGGGAUCAAAUCACGAUUCUGAUUAUUGGAAAGGGGGCCUGGAGGGGAGACCUUGAGCAUCUUGUUCAUUCUCACUGCCACCAUACCUCUUGUUUCCUGAGCACUGACCAUACGUUGGAUACUAUGGAGGCUGGGCCCCAGGACCAAAUGGCUUGGGGGCACUGUACCAAUCACUGGAGUCCUCAUUCUAAAAGGGAGCACUGGGGACAGAUUCCUUCUGCAGAUCUUUAGCUAGUUUACUCCUCCUGUGGGGAGAAAAAAAAAUUUUUUUUUCACCCCAGUGAGUUCUAAACCCUGCUUUCUCCUUUUCUGUGCAAAUGUACCUUACCUUAUGCUCUCCACAGACUAAGUCUGUGAGGAAGAUACUAUUAUACCCAUUUUACAAAUGGGGAAACUUAGGCUUAGAGAGACAGGUUGCUUGGAGUUACUUUAUAAGACAAGUAGUCUGACUUAAGAGAUUCAGCUUUUAAACACCAUGCUCUCCUGCCUUCCAGCAGCCCAUGCCUGGAGAAUUUUUACUCCUGGUGGAUAUUUUGGGAGUUCCCAUUGUGGUGCAGCAGAAACAAUCUGACUAGUAUCCAUGAGGACAUGGGUUCAAUCCCUGGCCUCGCUCAUUGGGUUAAGGAUUUGGCGUUGCCAUGAGCUGUGAUGUAGGCUGGCAGUUGCAGCUCUGAUUUGACCCCUAGCCUGGGAACCUCCCUAUGCCUCGGGUGCGUCCCUAAAAAGAAAAAA
rnacentral:lncRNA from 1 species